GCUGGGUGCAGUGGUGCACUCCUGUAAUCCCAGCAGCUCAGGAGGCUGAGGCAGGAGGAUCGCAAGUUCAAAGCCAGCCUCAGCAAAAGCAAGGUUCUAAGCAACUCAGUGAGACCCUGUCUCUA
rnacentral:sRNA from 1 species